GAUGAGCGCUGACAGAAUGCUUAACACAUGCAAGUCUUUGGCGAAGCUGUGCUUGCACAGCCUAGCCAAGGCGGACGGGUGAGUAACGCGUAAGGAACUUGCCCUGCAGUCAGGGAUAACAGACGGAAACGACUGAUAAGACCUGGUAAAGUCAGGCGGACUCAUGUCCAGCCUGAUGAAAAGUGAUGCUGCAGGAGAGCCUUGCGUCCUAUUAGCUUGUUGGUGGGGUAACGGCCCACCAAGGCGAUGAUAGGUAGCCGGCCUGAGAGGGUGGACGGCCACAAGGGGACUGAGAUACGGCCCUUACUCCUACGGGAGGCAGCAGUGGGGAAUAUUGGACAAUGGGGGCAACCCUGAUCCAGCAAUUCUGUGUGCACGAUGAAGGUUUUCGGAUUGUAAAGUGCUUUCAGCAGGGAAGAAAAAAAUGACGGUACCUGCAGAAGAAGCGACGGCUAAAUACGUG
rnacentral:rRNA from 1 species